UUUUGAUCCUGGCUCAGGAUGAACGCUAGCGGCAGGCUUAAUACAUGCAAGUCGUGGGGCAGCAGGGGUAGCAAUACCCGCUGGCGACCGGCAAACGGGUGCGGAACACGUACGCAACCUUCCUUUAACUGGAGAAUAGCCCCUCGAAAGAGGGAUUAAUACUUCGUAACAUAUACAUGUGGCAUCACAAGUAUAUUAUAGCUCCGGCGGUUAAAGAUGGGCGUGCGCCUGAUUAGAUAGUUGGCGGGGUAACGGCCCACCAAGUCUGCGAUCAGUAACUGGUGUGAGAGCACGACCAGUCACACGGGCACUGAGACACGGGCCCGACUCCUACGGGAGGCAGCAGUAAGGAAUAUUGGUCAAUGGACGCAAGUCUGAACCAGCCAUGCCGCGUGGAGGAUUAAGGCCCUCUGGGUUGUAAACUCCUUUUAUCUGGGAAGAAAUGCAUUUUUUCUAAAGUGCUUGACGGUACCAGAGGAAUAAGCACCGGCUAACUCCGUGCCAGCAGCCGCGGUAAUACGGAGGGUGCAAGCGUUAUCCGGAUUCACUGGGUUUAAAGGGUGCGUAGGCGGGCAAGUAAGUCCGUGGUGAAAUCUCUGAGCUUAACUCAGAAACUGCCAUGGAUACUAUUUGUCUUGAAUAUUGUGGAGGUGAGCGGAAUAUGUCAUGUAGCGGUGAA
rnacentral:rRNA from 1 species